rnacentral:rRNA from 1 species
AACGGGAUUAGAAACCCCGGUAGUCCUAGCCGUAAACGAUGGAUGCUAGCUUUGGGGGUUUAGAUUCCUUCCGUGCCGCAGUUAACGCGUUAUGCAUCCCGCCUGGGGAGUACGGCCGCAAGCUUAAAACUCAAACGAAUUGACGGGGUCCCGCACAAGCAGCGGAGCGUGUGGUUUAAUUCGAUGUUACACGAAGAACCUUACCUGGGCUUGACAUACAGGUAGCAGUGAAGUGAAAGCGGAUCGAUCCUUCGGGGAGCAUGUACAGGUGCUGCAUGUCUGUCGUCAGCUCGUNCCGUGAGUGUCGGGUNNAAGUCCCGUAACGAGCGCAACCCUUGCUCUUAGUUAUACGUGUCUAAGAGGACUGCCGCCGGUAAGCCGGAGGAAGGUGGGGAUGACGUCAAGUCAGCAUGCCCUUUAUGUCCAGGGCUACACACACGCUACAAUGNCCGGUACAAUGGGUAGCUAACACGCGAGNUGGAGCCAAUCCUGUAAAGCCGUUCUCAGUUCGAUGNNCAGGCUGCAACUCGCAUGCAUGAAGUCGGAGUUGCUAGUAUUCGCAGGUCAGCAAUACUGCGGUG